rnacentral:tRNA from 1 species
GUGCGUAUAAUUUUAAAAAAAUAUUAGACUGUGAUUCUAAAAAUGAAGGUUAGACUCUUUCUAUGCACC